rnacentral:lncRNA from 1 species
AUUGAAGAUUGGUGAUUGUGAUGGCUUUGAUAGCAAGAAUCCUUAUUGAUCUCCAAGUAGAUUGAUUAAAAUUAGAAUUAUAGUUGAAACUUACAUCUAAAUUAGCAAAUUAAUUGAUUUUUAUGAUUUAGAACUCGGAAUUGGGCUUGUGAAUAUUCAAAAUUAGGAUAGAAUGUGAUUUAGAAACAAUGGAAGUAUUAUUUUUGCCAAAAAGGUGCUAAUUCUUGAGUUACAGGUAUUUUCAUCCUUAAAUUCGGAAUUAGGCUUACAGUGAUUGUGAACCCUUGAUCUUGGUUAGGGAUUUUUUGAUUUGGAUGGUAGAGAUGUGGCCGCCACCUUUGGGCCUCCUCCCACCUA